rnacentral:rRNA from 1 species
AGUAAGCUGGGCGGCAGGCCUAACACAUGCAAGUCGAGCGGUAGAGAGAAGCUUGCUUCUCUUGAGAGCGGCGGACGGGUAAGUAAUGCCUAGGAAUCUGCCUGGUAGUGGGGGAUAACGUUCGGAAACGGACGCUAAUACCGCAUACGUCCUACGGGAGAAAGCAGGGGACCUUCGGGCCUUGCGCUACCAGAUGAGCCUAGGUCGGAUUAGCUAGUUGGUGGGGUAAUGGCUCACCAAGGCGACGAUCCGUAACUGGUCUGAGAGGAUGAUCAGUCACACUGGAACUGAGACACGGUCCAGACUCCUACGGGAGGCAGCAGUGGGGAAUAUUGGACAAUGGGCGAAAGCCUGAUCCAGCCAUGCCGCGUGUGUGAAGAAGGUCUUCGGAUUGUAAAGCACUUUAAGUUGGGAGGAAGGGUUGUAGAUUAAUACUCUGCAAUUUUGACGUUACCGACAGAAUAAGCACCGGCUAACUCUGUGCCAGCAGCCGCGGUAAUACAGAGGGUGCAAGCGUUAAUCGGAAUUACUGGGCGUAAAGCGCGCGUAGGUGGUUUGUUAAGUUGGAUGUGAAAUCCCCGGGCUCAACCUGGGAACUGCAUUCAAAACUGUCUGACUAGAGUAUGGCAGAGGGUGGUGGAAUUUCCUGUGUAGCGGUGAAAUGCGUAGAUAUAGGAAGGAACACCAGUGGCGAAGGCGACCGCCUGGGCUAAUACUGACACUGAGGUGCGAAAGCGUGGGGAGCAAACAGGAUUAGAUACCCUGGUAGUCCACGCCGUAAACGAUGUCGACUAGCCGUUGGGAUCCUUGAGAUCUUAGUGGCGCAGCUAACGCAUUAAGUCGACCGCCUGGGGAGUACGGGCCGCAAGGUUAAAACUCAAUGAAUUGACGGAAGGC